rnacentral:rRNA from 1 species
AGUGAACGCUGGCGGUAGGCCUAACACAUGCCAGUCGAACGGCAGCACAGUAAGAGCUUGCUCUUACGGGUGGCGAGUGGCGGACGGGUGAGGAAUACAUCGGAAUCUACUUUUUCGUGGGGAUAACGUAGGGAAACUUACGCUAAUACCGCAUACGACCUACGGGUGAAAGCAGGGGAUCUUCGGACCUUGCGCGAUUGAAUGAGCCGAUGUCGGAUUAGCUAGUUGGCGGGGUAAAGGCCCACCAAGGCGACGAUCCGUAGCUGGUCUGAGAGGAUGAUCAGCCACACUGGAACUGAGACACGGUCCAGACUCCUACGGGAGGCAGCAGUGGGGAAUAUUGGACAAUGGGCGCAAGCCUGAUCCAGCCAUACCGCGUGGGUGAAGAAGGCCUUCGGGUUGUAAAGCCCUUUUGUUGGGAAAGAAAAGCAGCAGGUUAAUACCCCGCUGUUCUGACGGUACCCAAAGAAUAAGCACCGGCUAACUUCGUG